CGGGGCCAGAUGAUGAUCAAAAGCAUAGUUCAGAUGAUAUUACUAUGUGAUUAUACAUUUCAAAAGUCUUUCGCUCCUAUCUGAUGACCCCG